AAUGCCCAACCCUCAUGACAUCUCAGACAGAAUGUGGUCCAGGGGCUGAGCAGAGGGGAAGACAGAAAAGCCGGUGUGUUUGGCAACACACAGCCAAUAAUAUUCAACAGGCUGCUUUCAGAGCAUCUCUUUCCAGACACAGCAAACAGUCGUUUGCAAGAAUCAGCAUCAUAUCCACCCUGGACCGUGAGGUGAGUUGUGUCUGUUCACACGUAGACUAAGCCUGAUUUGGACACUGUCUCAAAGUUUCUGUACUCCGUUGACCCUUUCUUUUGUUGACAGUUGUGCUGGACACAGAGAAAUCGAAAGUGAGCCAGAGCCAUUUCCUUCCCUAAAGGGGCUCGCAUUACAAGAGACACUGUCGCAGAAGCAGGAGAUCACCCUGGGCUGUGGCGAGCGCUGUUAGGAAGGACAUCAGGAUGUUAUCGAAGACACGAGGAGAGCCCCCAGCUCCAAUUUAGCAGGAGAGGGACGACCUCUCAGAAGAAGUGGCACCCACACUGCAUAUAAUCCGUAGUUUCCAAUGACCCCACACUACACACAAGUUGAGUCAGUUUUAACAAACAGGUCAAUGUAAUUUAGGUAGAUACAGGGUAAGGGCACUGUCCGGUGACACGUUUUCGUUUCCCCUCUGUGCCAACAAUGUUUCGGUUAAAAAGACAAGUAGGGCCAUGGUGCUGAAUAAGAGAGAGUAAGGGGCUCCUGUAUCAAUAAGGAAAUUGAUAACUUAUCUCCUACGUCCAGGGUAACCCAGGGCUCCCUCAUCUUGCUGUCACAGGGAGCCAGACCAACCUCAGGGUCCCAUCAUGCCAGGCCCUCCGGUUCCUGCCUUCCUCUCUCCCUGGAGUUGAGGGCAGUGUCUCUCUCCCAAUGUCUUUCUUUCUUUCUUUCUUUCUUUCUUUCUUUCUUUCUUUCUUUCUUUCUUUCUUUCUUCUUUUUUCUUUCUUUCUUUCAUUUCUUUUUUUUAACAGACAGGACAUGGCCCUGGGGGAGAGCCUUGGUUUGGA
rnacentral:lncRNA from 1 species